rnacentral:rRNA from 1 species
GCUUAGAGUUUGAUCCUGGCUCAGGAUAAACGCUAGCGGAAGGCUUAACACAUGCAAGUCAAGGGGGUUAAUUGGUAGCAAUACUGAUUAAUUACCGGCGUACGGGUGAGUAACGCGUAUGUAACCUACCUUAUACAGGGGGAUAACACUGGGAAACUUGUGCUAAUACCCCAUGAGGUUACGAUCAGGCAUCUGGUUGUGAUCACAGCUACGGUGGUAUAAGAUGGGCAUGCGUGCCAUUAGGUAGUAGGUAGGGUAACGGCCUACCAAGCCGAUGAUGGCUAGGGGUUCUGCAAGGAAGUACCCCCACACUGGGACUGAGACACGGCCCAGACUCCUACGGGAGGCAGCAGUGAGGAAUAUUGGUCAAUGGGCGGAAGCCUGAACCAGCCAUUCCGCGUGCAGGAAGACGGCCCUAUGGGUUGUAAACUGCUUUUGAAUGGGACUAAACCUGGAGACUUGAUUUUUGGGGUGCAUGUACCGUUCGAAUAAGCAUCGGCUAACUCCGUGCCAGCAGCCGCGGUAAUACGGAGGAUGCAGGCGUUAUCCGGAAUUAUUAGGUUUAAAGGGUGCGUAGGCGGGAGGAUAAGUCAGGGGUAAAAUCGCACAGCUCAACUGUGCCACGCCCUUGAUACUGUUUUUCUAGAGUAGAAUCGAGGUAGGCGGAAUGUGCAGUGUAGCGGUGAAAUGCGUAGAUAUUGCACAGAACACCGAUUGCGGAGGCAGCUUACUAGGUUUAUACUGACGCUGAGGCACGAAAGCGUGGGGAUCAAACAGGAUUAGAUACCCUGGUAGUCCACGCUGUAAACGAUGAUCACUUGCUGUUGGCGAUAGAUAGUCAGUGGCAAAGGGAAACCGAUAAGUGAUCCACCUGGGGAGUACGACCGCAAGGUUGAAACUCAAAGGAAUUGACGGGGGCCCGCACAAGCGGUGGAGCAUGUGGUUUAAUUCGACGCAACGCGAAGAACCUUACCUGGGUUUGACAUCCCGAGAAUUUUGCAGAAAUGUGAAAGUGCCUCUUCGGAGGAACUCGGUGACAGGUGCUGCAUGGCUGUCGUCAGCUCGUGUCGUGAGAUGUUGGGUUAAGUCCCGCAACGAGCGCAACCCUUGCCUUUAGUUGCCACCAUUUAGUUGGGUACUCUAAAGGGACUGCCGGUGUUAAACCGGAGGAAGGUGGGGAUGACGUCAAGUCCUCAUGGCCCUUAUGUCCAGGGCUACACACGUGCUACAAUGGUCGGCACAAAGGGUAGCGAGCCUGUGAAGGUUAGCCAAUCCCAAAAAACCGAUCUCAGUUCGGAUUGGAGUCUGCAACUCGACUCCAUGAAGUUGGAAUCGCUAGUAAUCCCGGAUCAGCAUGCCGGGGUGAAUACGUUCCCGGGCCUUGUACACACCGCCCGUCACACCACGAAAGUUGGCUGUACCAGAAGUCACUGCGCUAACCGCAAGGAGGCAGGUGCCCAAGGUAUGGUCAGUGAUUGGGGUGAAGUCGUAACAAGGUAACCAAGCC